GUGAAGGUUAAAGUACUCAGCUGUGACAUUAAAGUACGGCUAAUAAAGUCCACAGACGGUCUGCACUGCUGAUCAAUACACUAGAAGUCGGAAGAAGACAACACGUGGCACUGUAAGUCAUGGCGGCCAAGGCAAGCCUGUCAUGGUGUAUUUUAAUGAGUGUUUUAAUGUCCACAAGCGGGAGAAAGAUCUCUUAUGGGACAUUUAAGAUGGGCUUGAGCUGAGAUUUUGGCGAUCGGUUCCCUUCGGUUGUACAGUUCAGAUCGGAAGCAUUACUUUAUGCGCCAGCCCUGUUAACUGAAGGGGACAGAGACACCAAAGACCCGCACAUUUUACUCCUAGACGACAAAAAGCAUCCAAUUUAUAGAAUAGACCUCAAUCAUCUUAACCUAGAAGAUAUUCGAACCAUGUUGAGAGACAUUGGCUUCUAUAGGAAAUCUGGUUAUACAGCCGACAUUCCCGCAGAAUAUGACAGUGGUGUUUCUCCGCCGCCAGAUGGCGCAACGUUUGAUAUAUUGACUUCCGGGAAAUCAAAAUGGUCGAAACAUGGGCGCAUAAUAGUCGGAUAAACAAAGCCAACGACCGUGUGACAACCACAUACACGAACCGUUCAUUUUAUGAAGUCCAUGGCGGAAAAUGAUGUUUAAUCGUAGCUCUGGAUGGAGAAAUAACUGAAUGAUGGUGUUGUGUGUGUAGUUGUCACUCAAAUAAAAUUUAAACCAAAGUUGAAGAGCAUACAAGUCUGUAUUAUAUAAUAUUAAUUUUUGAACAAUCUGAUCAAUAAAUAAUAUAUUUAUA
rnacentral:misc_RNA from 1 species